AGACCAAGGGUUCCUGCGCAACGUUAAUCGACGCAGGGUUAGUCGGUUCCUAAGGCGAGGCUGAAAAGCGUAGUCGAUGGGAAACAGGUUAAUAUUCCUGUACUUCUGGUUACUGCGAUGGAGGGACGGAGAAGGCUAGGCCAGCUUGGCGUUGGUUGUCCAAGUUUAAGGUGGUAGGCUGAAAUCUUAGGUAAAUCCGGGGUUUCAAGGCCGAGAGCUGAUGACGAGUCGUCUUUUAGAUGACGAAGUGGUUGAUGCCAUGCUUCCAAGAAAAGCUUCUAAGCUUCAGGUAACCAGGAACCGUACCCCAAACCGACACAGGUGGUCGGGUAGAGAAUACCAAGGCGCUUGAGAGAACUCGGGUGAAGGAACUAGGCAAAAUGGCACCGUAACUUCGGGAGAAGGUGCGCCGGCUAGGGUGAAGGAUUUACUCCGUAAGCUCUGGCUGGUCGAAGAUACCAGGCCGCUGCGACUGUUUAUUAAAAACACAGCACUCUGCAAACACGAAAGUGGACGUAUAGGGUGUGACGCCUGCCCGGUGCCGGAAGGUUAAUUGAUGGGGUUAGCGCAAGCGAAGCUCUUGAUCGAAGCCCCGGUAAACGGCGGCCGUAACGAUAACGGUCCUAAGGUAGCGAAAUUCCUUGUCGGGUAAGUUCCGACCUGCACGAAUGGCGUAACGAUGGCGGCGCUGUCUCCACCCGAGACUCAGUGAAAUUGAAAUCGCUGUGAAGAUGCAGUGUAUCCGCGGCUAGACGGAAAGACCCCGUGAACCUUUACUGUAGCUUUGCACUGGACUUUGAGCCUGCCUGUGUAGGAUAGGUGGGAGGCUUUGAAGCGUGGACGCCAGUUCGCGUGGAGCCAUCCUUGAAAUACCACCCUGGCAUGCUUGAGGUUCUAACUCUGGUCCGUAAUCCGGAUCGAGGACAGUGUAUGGUGGGCAGUUUGACUGGGGCGGUCUCCUCCCAAAGAGUAACGGAGGAGUACGAAGGUGCGCUCAGACCGGUCGGAAAUCGGUCGCAGAGUAUAAAGGCAAAAGCGCGCUUGACUGCGAGACAGACACGUCGAGCAGGUACGAAAGUAGGUCUUAGUGAUCCGGUGGUUCUGUAUGGAAGGGCCAUCGCUCAACGGAUAAAAGGUACUCCGGGGAUAACAGGCUGAUACCGCCCAAGAGUUCAUAUCGACGGCGGUGUUUGGCACCUCGAUGUCGGCUCAUCACAUCCUGGGGCUGAAGCCGGUCCCAAGGGUAUGGCUGUUCGCCAUUUAAAGUGGUACGCGAGCUGGGUUUAGAACGUCGUGAGACAGUUCGGUCCCUAUCUGCCGUGGACGUUUGAGAUUUGAGAGGGGCUGCUCCUAGUACGAGAGGACCGGAGUGGACGAACCUCUGGUGUUCCGGUUGUCACGCCAGUGGCAUUGCCGGGUAGCUAUGUUCGGAAAAGAUAACCGCUGAAAGCAUCUAAGCGGGAAACUUGCCUCAAGAUGAGAUCUCACUGGGAACUUGAUUCCCCUGAAGGGCCGUCGAAGACUACGACGUUGAUAGGCUGGGUGUGUAAGCGUUGUGAGGCGUUGAGCUAACCAGUACUAAUUGCCCGUGAGGCUUGACC
rnacentral:rRNA from 1 species